CCUCCUCUCUAAGGAAUCAAUAUCCUUU
rnacentral:rRNA from 1 species